GCACAAGCGGUGGAUCAUGUUGUUUAAUUCGAUGAUACGCGAAGAACCUUACCAGGUCUGACAUCCCUUGACAAAGCUAUGGAGACAUAGUGGAGGUUAUCAAGGAGACAGGUGGUGCAUGGUUGUCGUCAGCUCGUGUCGUGAGAUGUUGGGUUAAGUCCCGCAACGAGCGCAACCCUUAUUGCUAGUUACCAUCAUUAAGUUGGGGACUCUAGCGAGACUGCCAGUGAUAAACUGGAGGAAGGUGGGGAUGACGUCAAAUCAUCAUGCCCCUUAUGACCUGGGCUACAAACGUGAUACAAUGGCUGAAACAAAGGGCAGCGAAGCAGUGAUGUGGAGCGAAACCCAAAAAAGCAGUCUCAGUUCGGAUUGAAGUCUGCAACUCGACUUCAUGAAGUUGGAAUCGCUAGUAAUCGUAGAUCAGAACGCUACGGUGAAUACGUUCUCGGGGUUU
rnacentral:rRNA from 1 species